rnacentral:rRNA from 1 species
AUUGAACGCUGGCGGCAUGCCUUACACAUGCAAGUCGAGCGCGAAAGGGGGGCAACCCCCGAGUAGAGCGGCGGACGGGUGAGUAACACAUCGGAACGUACCCAGUAGUGGGGGACAACCUCGAGAAAUCGAGGCUAAUACCGCAUACGACCCACGGGUGAAAGCGGGGGACCGCAAGGCCUCGCGCUAUUGGAGCGGCCGAUGUCCGAUUAGCUAGUUGGCGGGGUAAGAGCCCACCAAGGCGACGAUCGGUAGCUGGUCUGAGAGGACGGCCAGCCACACUGGGACUGAGACACGGCCCAGACGCCUACGGGAGGCAGCAGUGGGGAAUUUUGGACAAUGGGGGCAACCCUGAUCCAGCCAUGCCGCGUGCGGGAAGAAGGCCUUCGGGUUGUAAACCGCUUUCGGCCGGAACGAAAUCGCCCGGGUGAACAUCCCGGGUGGAUGACGGUACCGGAAGAAGAAGCACCGGCUAACUACGUGCCAGCCGCCGCGGUAACAC